rnacentral:tRNA from 1 species
UAGAUUGAAGCCAGUUGUAUAAGGUAUUUAGCUGUUAACUAAAAGUUCGUAAGAUAUAAGCUUACCAAUCUAG